rnacentral:rRNA from 1 species
GAUGAACGCUGGCGGCGUGCCUAAUACAUGCAAGUCGAGCGAAUGGAUUAAGAGCUUGCUCUUAUGAAGUUAGCGGCGGACGGGUGAGUAACACGUGGGUAACCUGCCCAUAAGACUGGGAUAACUCCGGGAAACCGGGGCUAAUACCGGAUAACAUUUUGAACCGCAUGGUUCGAAAUUGAAAGGCGGCUUCGGCUGUCACUUAUGGAUGGACCCGCGUCGCAUUAGCUAGUUGGUGAGGUAACGGCUCACCAAGGCAACGAUGCGUAGCCGACCUGAGAGGGUGAUCGGCCACACUAGGACUGAGACACGGCCCAGACUCCUACGGGAGGCAGCAGUAGGGAAUCUGCCGCAAUGGACGAAAGUCUGACGGAGCAACGCCGCGUGAGUGAUGAAGGCUUUCGGGUCGUAAAACUCUGUUGUUAGGGAAGAACAAGUGCUAGUUGAAUAAGCUGGCACCUUGACGGUACCUAACCAGAAAGCCACGGCUAACUACGUGCCAGCCGCCGCGGUAA